rnacentral:rRNA from 1 species
AGCAGCCGCGGUAAUUCCAGCUCCAAUAGCGUAUAUUAAAGUUGUUGCAGUUAAAAAGCUCGUAGUUGAAUUUCGGGACUAAUAUGUCGGUCGUACUUUGUACGUACUAGCAUUAUUGGUUUCUCCCUUCUGACGAACCACGAUGUCAUUAAUUUGGUGUCAUGGGAAAUCAGGACUGUUACUUUGAAAAAUUUAGAGUGUUUAAAGCAAGCUCGCGCUUGAAUACAUUAGCAUGGAAUAAUGAAAUAGGACGUUUGAUUCUAUUUUGUUGGUUUCUAGGAUCGACGUAAUGAUUAAUAGGGAUAGUUGGGGGCAUUAGUAUUCAAUUGUCAGAGGUGAAAUUCUUGGAUUUAUUGAAGACUAACUACUGCGAAAGCAUUUGCCAAGGAUGUUUUCAUUAAUCAAGAACGAAAGUUAGGGGAUCGAAGACGAUCAGAUACCGUCGUAGUCUUAACCAUAAACUAUGCCGACUAGGGA